rnacentral:rRNA from 1 species
GAUGAACGCUGGCGGCGUGCCUAAUACAUGCAAGUCGAGCGAACGGACGAGAAGCUUGCUUCUCUGAUGUUAGCGGCGGACGGGUGAGUAACACGUGGAUAACCUACCUAUAAGACUGGGAUAACUUCGGGAAACCGGAGCUAAUACCGGAUAAUAUUUUGAACCGCAUGGUUCAAAAGUAAAAGACGGUCUUGCUGUCACUUAUAGAUGGAUCCGCGCUGCAUUAGCUAGUUGGUAAGGUAACGGCUUACCAAGGCAACGAUGCAUAGCCGACCUGAGAGGGUGAUCGGCCACACUGGAACUGAGACACGGUCCAGACUCCUACGGGAGGCGGCAGUAGGGAAUCUUCCGCAAUGGGCGAAAGCCUGACGGAGCAACGCCGCGUGAGUGAUGAAGGUCUUCGGAUCGUAAAACUCUGUUAUUAGGGAAGAACAUAUGUGUAAGUAACUGUGCACAUCUUGACGGUACCUAAUCAGAAAGCCACGGCUAACUACGUG